GCGUUAUUUAUUCCACCAGAUCUAACAUCUAAACCCAGCUGCUUAUAUACAUAUUUUUCCAUUGUCCCCAAAAUCUCUCUUGAUGAAUAUCACAGGACCCCAUCAACAACAUCCACUCCCACAUCUCUCUACCCCAUGCAUGAAACCAUUCAAUUGAGUAUCUUUGCCUCUGCAAAAAGAAACUGAACAACCCAUAACCCCCCACACCCCCUCUCUCUUUCUCUCUCUGUCUCCAUGAUGUCCCCGAAUACUCUUCAGGGAAAGCAAGCCACCAAAGAAGAGAACCAAAGCUCCGGUAACCGGAAAACUGCAUCAACAAGGCCACAAGAGCAGGCGAUGAAGUGUCCAAGAUGCGACUCGCCCAACACAAAAUUCUGCUACUAUAACAAUUAUAGUCUAACACAGCCCAGGCAUUUUUGCAAGACUUGUAGAAGGUACUGGACUAAAGGAGGAGCCCUACGCAACGUUCCCAUCGGCG
rnacentral:misc_RNA from 1 species